rnacentral:lncRNA from 1 species
AAACAGAGAGACAGGGAGGUGCCACAUACUUUUAAACAGCCAGAUGUCAUAAGAACUCAGUCACUGUAACGAGAACAGCAAGGGGGAAAUUCGCUCCGAUGAUCCAGUCACCUCUCACCAGGCCCCUCCUCCAACACUGGGGUUUACAAUUGGAAAUUUUCUCAGGGACACAAAUCCAAGACCUAUCACAUUGUAAGUUGCAUACAUCUUACCCUUUACCCCUAAAUAUUUCAGUAUUUCCUAAGAAAUAGGAUGUUCUGUUUCCUACCCCCAGUAUAGUUAUCGAUGUUGGUAAAUUGAACAGAAACAUGGAAUUUUAUUUAAUCUACUGUCUGUAUUUCAUUUGUGUCAAUUUAGCCAGAAAUGUUCUUUAUAGCAUUCUUUUCUUUCAGUACAUGUUCCAGUCUAGAACCUCAUACUAUAUUUAGUUAUUAUAUGUCCUUAGUCUCCUUGAAUCUAUAAAGGUUCCCCAGCAUUUCUGUGCCUAUUAUGACAUCAACAUUUUUGAAGAAUGCAGUUGAUGGACCGUUUUUACAGUUCCUUCUCUCACCUAGAAAUUCUCUCUUAGGAGCUGAUCAAAAUCAAACUAAGAAAUUUUUUACACAUGUGAGUCUUGGGGACUUCAGGGUCAUUCAAGGCAGAAUCAGGCCAUAAAUAGUAAUGCCAGAGAUGACAGGAUGUGUAGAGGGACAGGGGAAAAAUCUUACAGUGAAAGAAGAGUAGGGGAGUCUUGAAGUAUAAGUCCUUUGGGGGUCAGAGGACUUUAGAGAAGCUGAUGUUGUAAAAGAAAACAGACUUGUCACCUCUGGCAAAGCCUCAACAUAUGGGUAUGUAUCCGUCAGGGUUCAGCCAGAGAAGCAGAACAACUGGAAGAUAAUUAGAAUUAUCAGCCUGUGCCACCCCCAUCAUGUGUCUCUAAAGACCCCAGACUCAGUCAGUAGAGGGGAGAUGGCCUGACUUUGGGGAGGAGACAGCCUGACUUCAGGGAAGAAAUGGCCUGACUUCGGGACAAAGACCUCCUGACUUCAGGGGAAGACAACGAGCGGCCCUUCCCAUCCCCUCUCCAACUCCCCUCUCCGCUGAGAGCUGUUUUCAUCACUCAAUAAAAUUCUCUGCCCCCACCGUC